rnacentral:tRNA from 1 species
UCCCUGGUGGUCUAGUGGUUAAGACUUUGCCUUCCAAUGCAGAGAGGGCAGGUUCAAUCCCUGGUCAGGAAG